rnacentral:tRNA from 2 species
AGGGGGUUAGCUGAGUGGUUUAGCGGUAAAUUUACACUUUACAAACAGGGGUUCGAUUCCUCUACUCCCUA